rnacentral:rRNA from 1 species
GAUGAACGCUGGCGGCGUGCCUAAUACAUGCAAGUCGAGCGAACAGACGAGGAGCUUGCUCCUCUGACGUUAGCGGCGGACGGGUGAGUAACACGUGGAUAACCUACCUAUAAGACUGGGAUAACUUCGGGAAACCGGAGCUAAUACCGGAUAAUAUAUUGAACCGCAUGGUUCAAUAGUGAAAGACGGUUUUGCUGUCACUUAUAGAUGGAUCCGCGCCGCAUUAGCUAGUUGGUAAGGUAACGGCUUACCAAGGCAACGAUGCGUAGCCGACCUGAGAGGGUUAUCGGCCACCCUGGAACUGAGACACGGUCCAGGCUCCUACGGGAGGCAGCAGUAGGGAAUCUUCCGCAAUGGGCGAAAGCCUGACGGAGCAACGCCGCGUGAGUGAUGAAGGUCUUCGGAUCGUAAAACUCUGUUAUUAGGGAAGAACAAAUGUGUAAGUAACUAUGCACGUCUUGACGGUACCUAAUCAGAAAGCCACGGCUAACUACGUG